rnacentral:rRNA from 1 species
AAAAGGCCGCAGUAUUUUGACUGUGCAAAGGUAGCAUAAUAAUUAGUUUUUUAAUUGGAAGCUGGAAUGAAUGAUUGAAUGAAAUAUUAACUGUCUUAAAUUAAUUGUUUUAGAAUUUAAUUUUUAAGUUAAAAAGCUUAAAUUUUAUUGAAGGACGAGAAGACCCUUUAAAGCUUUAUAUAAAAAUUAAAAUAAUUUAUAAGAAUAAUAUAUUUAUUUUAAUUAAUAUAUUUUAUUGGGGCGAUAGGAAAAUUUAAUUAACUUUUUUUUUAUAGAAACAUUAAUAAAUGAAUAUAUGAUCCAUAAAUUGUGAUUAUAAGAUUAAGUUACUUAAGGGAUAA